rnacentral:rRNA from 1 species
CUGGGCUCGAACGGCUGUGGACAGUCGGUGGAAACACUGGCCUUCCCGCAAGGGACUGCAGUCGAGGUGCUGCAUGGCUGUCGUCAGCUCGUGUCGUGAGAUGUUGGGUUAAGUCCCGUAACGAGCGCAACCCUUGCCCUGUGUUGCCAUGCCGAAAGGCGGAACUCGCAGGGGACCGCUACCGAUAAGAUGGAGGAAGGUGGGGAUGACGUCAAGUCAUCAUGGCCUUUAUGUCCAGGGCUACACACGUGCUACAAUGGACGGUACAAAGCGCUGCUAAGUCGCGAGAUGGAGCUAAUCGCGAAAAACCGUUCUCAGUUCGGAUCGCAGGCUGCAACUCGCCUGCGUGAAGCUGGAAUCGCUAGUAAUGGCAUAUCAGAACGAUGCCGUGAAUACGUUCCC